AGAGGGAGGGUAGAUGUGUGGAAUUUGCUUUAUGUUUGGUAAUUGGGGGCCUUUGAGCCCUGAUGGGCUGGGUGACAUCAGUGACUCUCUGAGAGAUAUGAGCUGCUGAGGAGGGAGAGCAGAGAGAGAGAAGGAGGGAGAGAUUAGUCAGCAGAAAUGAUUCAGGACGACGUUCGUCUUUAAAUGUACUUCUUCAUUUCUCUCUUUCCCCACUGAGGAAGAUAAAGGACACACACACACACAGACAGACAGACAGACAGACAGACAGACAGACAGACAGACAGACAGACAGACAGACAGACAGACAGACAGACAGACAGACACGAGGGCUAGGUAAUCAGGUAUUCCUCCCAAGGUGUGUAUAUUGAUUUUAGUUCCCUUCUCAUUAACUAGCUACUGACAGUGACCAGAGAUGGCUAGAUUGAGCUAGAGGGGUGUGUGUGUGUGUGCGUGCAAGCGUGUGUUUUUGUGAGAGAGUUAAUUAACAGGACUUUAGAUAAGAAUGACACACACAGCUCUGAUUCCAUUUUCUGCUUUGUGUUUCAAUUAGGUCUUAGUGGAAUAGUGACUCUCUGAGAGAUACGAGUUGCGGUGUAAACUUUUGUUAUUGACGAAAUACUUAUUUUCCAACAUAAUUUGCAAAUAAAUAAAUUAAAAAUGUGAUUUUCUGGAUUUUUUUCCCUCAUUUUGUAUGUUUAGGGCCUCAUUAUGAAUGGUUAAGGUUUGGGAUAGAGUUACAACAUUAAGUUUAGGGCCUCAUUAUGAAUGGUUAAGGUUUGGGAUAGAGUUUAAAUAUUAAGUUUAGGGCCUCAUUAUGAAUGGUUAAAGUUUGGGAUAGAGUUUAAAUAUUAAGUUUAGGGCCUCAUUAUGAAUGGUUAAGGUUUGGGAUAGAGUUUAAAUAUUAAGUUUAGGGCCUCAUUAUGAAUGGUUAAGGUUUGGGAUAGAGUUUAAAUAUUAAGUUUAGGGCCUCAUUAUGAAUGGUUAAGGUUUGGGAUAGAGUUUAAAUAUUAAGUUUAGGGCCUCAUUAUGAAUGGUUAAGGUUUGGGAUAGAGUUUAAAUAUUAAGUUUAGGGCCUCAUUAUGAAUGGUUAAGGUUUGGGAUAGAGUUUAAAUAUUAAGUUUAGGGCCUCAUUAUGAAUGGUUAAGGUUUGGGAUAGAGUUUAAAUAUUAAGUUUAGGGCCUCAUUAUGAAUGGUUAAGGUUUGGGAUAGAGUUUAAAUAUUAAGUUUAGGGCCUCAUUAUGAAUGGUUAAGGUUUGGGAUAGAGUUUAAAUAUUAAGUUUAGGGCCUCAUUAUGAAUGGUUAAGGUUUGGGAUAGAGUUUAAAUAUUAAGUUUAGGGCCUCAUUAUGAAUGGUUAAGGUUUGGGAUAGAGUUUAAAUAUUAAGUUUAGGGCCUCAUUAUGAAUGGUUAAGGUUUGGGAUAGAGUUUAAAUAUUAAGUUUAGGGCCUCAUUAUGAAUGGUUAAGGUUUGGGAUAGAGUUUAAAUAUUAAGUUUAGGGCCUCAUUAUGAAUGGUUAAGGUUUGGGAUAGAGUUUAAACAUUAAGAUUAGGGCCUCAUUAUGAAUGGUUAAGGUUUGGGAUAGAGUUUAAUUUUAAACGUUAAGUUUAGGGCCUCAUUAUGAAUGGUUAAAGUUUGGGAUAGAGUUUAAACAUUAAGUUUAGGGCCUCAUUAUGAAUGGUUAAGGUUUGGGAUAGAGUUUAAACAUUAAGUUUAGGGCCUCAUUAUGAAUGGUUAAGGUUUGGGAUAGAGUUUAAACAUUAAGUUUAGGGCCUCAUUAUGAAUGGUUAAAGUUUGGGA